UUUGGAGCAAGUGUAUUUGCUCAAUGCCUAUACCCCCAUUGUAUCAAGGAAGUAACUAACUUGUUUUUGAUUUUGCAGGCUCAUAUGCAGAAGGGACUUGUCUCAGAGGAAACUUUGGGCUUGGACUUUUGAGUUAAUGCUAGGAUGAGACCCUGGCCAAUGGAUGAAAUGAGUACUUAGACAUGUGUAUGCUGUGUAAGAGCAGCUAAGUGACUGCCUGUCUCUAGUGGCCAGAAAGCCCCGAGAAACUGGAGCGAUUGCUUUUAUUCAGUGCAGGCACAAUGUUGAAAACCUGGAGACAUCACAACCUGUAGGUAUUUAACAUUUAUUAACCCUCUUUCAGGGAACAUCAUGCACGGAUGAUCAAAGGUCAAUUCCUGAUCCACAUAAGUAAACAAGCCUGUUUAAAAUAAAUUCCUCCACACCCCCUUGUACCUACUCCUUGCCCUCUGCCUCAGGGUUAUAAAACAGCUGCCUUCAGCUUUUCUCCUCCGGGGCUCUGUAGAACCUUCUGACCUUUCAGAAAGUUUGUGUCCUUUCCCUAUAAUUUUUCCCACCACUCUGAUCAAUCCCCUACACCAUGUGAAGAAAAACAUGUUUGCUUCCCCUUCCACCAUGACUGUAAGUUUCCAGAGGCUUCCCCAGCCAUGCUGAACUAUGAGUGAAUUAAACCUCUUUCCUUUAUGAAAGUGAAUUAAACCUCUUUCCUUU